GCGCAAUGUGGUGCAGUGGAGACAGGACUGCAAUUGGAAUCAGAAGGCCUAGCUUCCCAUUCGAUUUCUGCCGCUUUCUACCUGUGAAACUGAGCAAGACCCUUUCUUUUCUCUGGGAUCCAGUUUCCAAAUGAGUAGGGCUGGACUGAGUGAUUUUGAAAUUCUUUUUCAACUCUAAAUCUUUCAUCUCUUUGAAAGAGGAAGAAGAUUUUCUCCUCCUUCUGCAUCCCGGCCCUCCCACUUCCAUGGCAGAAGAAGGAGGAGGAUGAGAAGUAGGAAAAGGAGGAGGAAGAAGAGGACAAGAAGGAGGAGAGAAGGGAAGACAAGAAGAGGAAGAGAGAAGAAACAGGAGAAAGAAGAAGAAGUGGGAGCAAAAGAAGAGAAAGAGGAGGAGGAGGAAGAAGAACAAGAAGAAAAAAUUAUUUCAACCUCAAUGGAUUUAAAUUGGAAUUAAGCCUAGAUUCUGGCAAAAUAUACUAAUGGUUACAAAAUGGACCCAGAUACCUAUAACUAAGAAAAGGAGAAUAAGGUCCUAUCUGCUUUAAAAAAAAAAAAAAUCACUAUGUAUUGGCACAAUUCUGGAGCUAUUAUUUUUAUGUCAUCAAACAUAUUUAUUGUUCUAAUUGUGCUUCCUUCUCUCUGCAUUAUUGCUUAUAUAUCUUUAGAUAUUUCUUCAUAUUCUUGUUAAUUUUUUUAAAAAAUCAACAUUCUCUGGCAUUAUUGAAAAAUUCCCCUGGCAUAAGUCAUUUCCAAUAGUAGAAUUUAUUAAUAUAGAAGCAGAAAUUAAAUCACUGAAAGGCACCAAAAGAAAAAGAAAGUUGUCAUUAUUUUCUUAAUACUAAUAGUUUGUGAAUACUGCUAUCUUGUUAGAGUAUAUUUUUAUUCAAAGGUCAAUCAUUAAAAGUUUUGUUCAGAAA